rnacentral:rRNA from 1 species
CCCGUACCGUAAACCGACACAGGUGGAUGAGGAGAGAAUCCUAAGGCCGGCGGGAGAAGCAUUGUUAAGGAACUCGGCAAAAUGACCCUGUAACUUCGGGAGAAAGGGUGCCUGGGAAACCAGGCCGCAGAGAAUAGGCUCAAGCAACUGUUUAGCAAAAACACAGGUCUAUGCGAAACCGAAAGGUGAGGUAUAUGGGCUGACGCCUGCCCGGUGCUGGAAGGUUAAGAGGAGAGGUUAGCGCAAGCGAAGCUUUGAAUUUAAGCCCCAGUAAACGGCGGCCGUAACUAUAACGGUCCUAAGGUAGCGAAAUUCCUUGUCGGGUAAGUUCCGACCCGCACGAAAGGCGUAAUGAUUUGAGCGCUGUCUCGACAAUGCAUCCGGUGAAAUUGAAGUACCAGUGAAGAUGCUGGUUACCUGCGCCAGGACGGAAAGACCCCAUGGAGCUUUACUCCAGUUUGGUACUGGGAUCCGGUGCUGCAUGUACAGGAUAGGUGGGAGACUGAGAACACAGAACGCCAGUUGUGUGGGAGUCGCUGUUGGGAUACCACCCUUGCAGUAUUGGGUUUCUAACCAGCCGCCGUGACCCGGCGGUGGGACAAUGCCAGACGGGGAGUUUGACUGGGGCGGUCGCCUCCGAAAGGGUAUCGGAGGCGCCCAAAGGUUCCCUCAGAAUGGACGGAAACCAUUCGAAGAGUGCAAAGGCAGAAGGGAGCUUGACUGCGACACCGACGGGUGGAGCAGGUACGAAAGUAGGACUUAGUGAUCCGGUGGUAUAAAGUGGGAUUGCCAUCGCUCAACGGAUAAAAGCUACCCUGGGGAUAACAGGCUUAUCACUCCCAAGAGUUCACAUCGACGGAGUGGUUUGGCACCUCGAUGUCGGCUCAUCGCAUCCUGGGGCUGUAGUAGGUCCCAAGGGUUGGGCUGUUCGCCCAUUAAAGCGGUACGCGAGCUGGGUUCAGAACGUCGUGAGACAGUUCGGUCCCUAUCCGGCGUGGGCGUAGGAUAUCUGAGAGGAGCUGUCCUUAGUACGAGAGGACCGGGAUGGACGGGCCGCUGGUGCAUCGGUUAGACUGCCAAGUCUACGGCCGAGUAGCCAAGCCCGGAAGGGAUAAACGCUGAAGGCAUCUAAGCGUGAAGCCCCCCUUAAGAUGAGAUAUCCCAUUCGAAAGAAGUAAACCCCCUUGAAGACGACGAGGUAGAUAGGGCAGAGGUGGAAGUGUGGCAACACAUGGAGCUGACUGUUACUAAUCGGGUGAGGGCUUGACCAA